AGGGGCUUUGUGAGACUUCAUGUAUGCUUAAUGCUUCUAAUUCUCCUGGGCUGUAAUUAUCUCAGGAUGGGUAAAAGAGCUAUUUUUGGAAAUGUCAAUUUUCUUGAUUUAUUGGAAUUUAAGAGCUCCAGCAGCGGGCUCAGAGAGCGGCCCUCUAAAGGUUAAAACACGAGCCAUUUUGCACUAAUAAUCUGAGAGGAAGGUGUCCUGGGAAGGAAACUCUCAAUUUCCCCAUCCCAGGAAGGCCAGCAGACAUUCUGAGACAUUGAUUUAUGACUAGAAGUUUGCUAGAUUUUCACUGGAUUUGCUCAGGCAUUCCACCGCUGCUAAUAAGGUUGGAUAUAUCCCUUUGCUCAAAGAAAUGGCUUGUUCUCUGCUCCUGAGAUAUUGGUGAAAAGCUGUAAUUAAGGUAAGAAUGUGAAAACUUGAAAUUUUGUACAAUUUCUUAGUCUUGCAACCUCAUCUAACUUGAAAAGUGGUAACUAAAAUUCUGUGCUUAUUUAUUUAUAUAUUUAUUUAUAUAUCAUUUAAAAACUCAAGUUUGUUCAUUAUAUUUUUAAUGCCAUAAGGAUUUUGUUGUUAAAGCAGCUUAUUUAGCUAUAACAGCAUUUGUGGGCUUUUUUUGUUUGUUUGUUUGAUAUCAGAGAUGCUAUUACAGAUUUAAAUUUUAGCAGCCUGUGGGAAGAGAUUGCAUUUCUACAGAAAGCAAUUCUUUUUAUAAAGAAAUUGACCCUGAAGGAAUUGUAACGACUCAGGAUCUAACUGUGGAGUUUGAACACUCUACACUUGGCAUAAAAUUUGAAAAUCAGCUGUAUAACAUGGGACCUUUAACUCUAAUUCAAAGAAAAUAAGACUUAGGGGUUUUAAGGGAUUUACAAGCUUUUGAUUCCCCUCUGUCCACACCCUCCACUCCCACUAAAAAUAAUUUAAGGAUUGAUCUCUAGGUUGCAUUAUUUUCCACUGAGAUGUCUUUUCUUAUACAUCUUGGAUUUGAAUAACUAAUGUUCUUGUAUUGAGAUAAAAUUAUACACCUCUUUCUGGAGGCACAAAAUCAUAAGCUUAAAGUUGCAUCAUCUUAAAGAAGAGUAGUGAACAAAUACCAGCAAACCCCAGCAGGAAUUGAUCUGUCUUUUGUAAGUACUUUUGUGAAUCCCUGCUCUAAGCAAUGAGUCAAAUCAAAUGAUUAAAUCUAAGAUAAGCACAGAGUUGGUGGGAGUCCAGUACUUGGAAACAAAUGGAUUUAUCAACCUCUUCUGUUUUGUGUGGUGGGAUUAUCACCAAUGAGUACAGCAUGGAGUCAUUCUAACUGCUUAGUCUUCUGUGGAAAUCAUCACAUCUGUAGCUUGCAAGGUGCUGCUAUGAGG